rnacentral:tRNA from 1 species
GUCAAGAUGAUCGAAUUGGUCUAAGAGGUCAGUUUCAGGUCCGAAAAUGCAUGGAUUCAAAUUCCAUUCUUGACA